CACUUGAUAAAAUAUAACGAGUUUACAUAAACAAUAUUCUAUGACAAGUUUCGUGUAUUAGAUACAAAAAUUAUUGGAUUCAGCUGAGAGUACAUCCACAACUUGACAUGAGCUCCUCAUAAUAUUGGAUUCAGCAGAGAGUAGUAAAUAGAAAUUGAAAAUCGAUAAAUACAACCCCAAGUCACUUUGUGUGUGAAUUAUUAAAAUAGGUUGUAGCAUCUAUAAAGUCCCAAAUUUUCUGUAAUAUGUUCAGUUUUGAAAUAGUAGUUGGAAUACCUCUAAAUUUGCAACAAGUGUGGCUGGAGAGAUGGAAAUUAAAAUUGAAUACUAUCUUUCUUCCUGAAACUGUAGUGUCCGCAUGUAGUCAUUUCCCCUUUUUUUUUUUUUUUUUUUUUUUAUGAUGGGGGACCCGCAGUCGCUACCCUUCGAGUGUACACUAGGUAAACCCUCGAGCUAACGCAAUAAUCACGCUAGCCAGAUAAAUCGCACUAAAUAAGUGCUAUUCGACAAGCUCGAUCGAGAGUCAUUUCCCCUUUCGUAUACAUUGUAAUUGGAAGAAGAAGUAAUUGCCUUGGCCCCAUCAAGAAUUAAAAGGAACAAUUGUCCAUAAAUUGAAGUACACAAGCUGGAAAAUUAUAGGAUAAUGAGAAUCUAUGACCCAUAAGUCACUAUUUUUAUAAUUGAAAGAGAUGUCCCAAGUUAGAUAAAUAGAAGCAGAAGGAUUCUGCCAAAUGAAGACCACUGUACAAGAGGCCCAAUGAUAAACCAAUACCUUCUACAACCUGUUUAAGUGGAUGAGAUCAAUUAACAAGAAGCCAACAAAAGUACCAUGAGUAAGCUGUAAAUGUUGGUUUCUUCUUCUGCCAAGUAAAAUAGCUUCCAAAAUCUGAUUGAAAAAUUCAUCUCUAUCCAAACAAGCAGCCAUCGUUGUCUUGUCUCCAUCGAAAUUUAAUGUGGACACAUGGAUAAAAGCAAAAAUUGUACACUAUCAUCCCACUAGCGUCGGCGGUUACUGUAAUGGAGGUCGCCGAAGCGAAAUUCAACCGAGGGUUUUCAUGAAGCUGGUAAGAACGGAGUUAGAUUUCCUAGAUCAUUGCACAUACCUUUGAAUUCCACCAUGAAGAGGUUCAUCAGAAAUGACCAGUAUCAAAGCACUAAGGGCUGUAUAGUGCCGGUGAAGUGAUGGCCACUGUAAAGUAAUGUAGCAGGAGAUGUAAUAUAAAUAAUCAUUCAUUUUUGUGGUAGUUCCAUUUUGAAGGUUUCCCACUGGUGAUCUCCUUUUUGGUAAAUAGGUAUAUAUAAUACUUUUUGGAGUGGUCAAUAUUUCAUGUUUGGGUGUGUGAGAUAUUCAGGGGCUUGAUCUCUAUUUCAUUUGACUUGUGAGUUUUUGUGUUUGAAAGACCAAGGCAGAAAGUUGUGGUGGUAAACGAGGUGAUCCUCCUCGGUCUCCACGCCUACUGCCAAAACCCACAAAAAAAAAAAUUCCAGCAGCAAAACUCACCUCUUUACAUGUUUUUCUCUCCUUUCUUUGAAUGCUGACCAUGAUCUUUUUAGUAGAACUAGUCUUAUGUCCCGUGCAAUGCAUGAGCCAUGUUAUUUUUAAGGUAAUGUUAGUGUGUCAAAUAUUACUGGAAUUAUUUUGAAAGUUCCAUAAAUUUUCACCUAAAUCUUAGGCACUUACUAAUCUUUGGUAUUUAGAAACACACUGUAAGUAUUAUGCCCUAGGUCCAAUCAACUUUGGACAUAAAUACUUUUAUAUAUAAUUAAUACAAUUAAAUGGCAGAUCUAUUAUUUAAUUAAUAGACAAUUAAAUAAAUAAUAGAGUCCGUAGAUUCAAAUAUUUGUAAUUUGUUAAUCACGAUGAGUUGUGAUUGUGAGAUACAAAUUACAUUUGAUUGAAUCUUAAAUCAUCCGUGGUCGUAAGUAAUAACGAGAUACGGAUAUCGUUAUUACGGAUAGACCAUUACGUGUGGCAUUUCUUACUUGUGAAGUAAGUAACUGAUCUCACAAGUUAAAGUGUGGUGACACUUAAAUGAACACGUGGAUGUUUGUUAUAGAACAAAACAUUGGAGACCCGUCGAGAGAUUCCACAUGGAUAACUAUCUGAGUGUCGGUGGUUAAUCUCUAACGUUCGGUAGUGAAAUUGGUCCUUUGACUUGAGGUCGUCAUGGUACCUUAUAUGAGGACAGUCAUACUUUGGCGGUGUUGGAUGUUGCUCUGAAAAGGGCCGCUAAUACGACAUCGUUCGGGUACGUCAAGAAUCGUAUGAAGGUUGUGAUUGAUCAAUAAAGGAUUCGUCACUCUUAGAUAGUAGGAGAUUAUGAUCUGCGUUUCAUCCAAUUAAGUCAAUGAUCAAAUCCUUGACCAAGGUGUACUCAUAAGUCGAAAAGGAGUUUUCGAUUUAUAUUGACUUAAUAGUGGAGUGAAAGAUAUGAUCGAUGAUCGAGAUUGACACAACUCCAUAUCUCGUAAUUGAUCGGAUCAUAUUGACGAAGGGAUUAUAGUUUCACGGUAAACGAACGAAUUUGGUUUUGUCAUACCACGUGACAUUUCCCGUCACAUGUAUUGCCCUGACACAUUGCUAGAUGUCAAUCAGGGACGGCGAAUGUGAAUUGACGAUAAAUUAAAAGGGUGUUUUAAUUUAUCGAUUUUGAUUAGAUCAAAAUAAUAUUUCACGUCGUUAGGCAUCGUGGUCGGGAACCUAAUGGGUCACACACAAAAGAGAAUUGGAAGAUUGCAAAUUGCCAAUUGGUUAAUUUAACAAUCGUUGAAUAAAUUAAUUAAUUGGAUUUGUUAUUUAUAUUUUCGAAUUAAUUAAUUGGAUUAAUUAAUUCACG
rnacentral:lncRNA from 1 species